rnacentral:rRNA from 1 species
UACGGAGGAUGCAAGCGUUAUCCGGAAUGAUUGGGCGUAAAGCGUCCGCAGGUGGCAAUUCAAGUCUGCUGUCAAAGACUGGGGCUUAACCCUGGAAAGGCAGUGGAAACUGAAUAGCUAGAGUUGGGUAGGGGCAGAGGGAAUUCCUGGUGUAGCGGUGAAAUGCGUAGAGAUCAGGAAGAACACCGGUGGCGAAAGCGCUCUGCUGGGCCGCAACUGACACUCAUGGACGAAAGCUAGGGGAG